AAGGCUCGUCCGCCCAGGGUAAGUCGGGACCUAAGCCGAGGCCGUAAAGGCGUAGGCGAUGGACAAUCGGUGGAAAUUCCGAUACCACCCGGAAGCCGCUUGCAGCGAUGGGGAACACAGGAGGGUAGGCCGAGCGGGCCGUUGGUCGUGCCCGUCCAAGCCGGUAGGGCGGUAGAGAGGCAAAUCCCUCUACCAGAAAGCCCGAGAAGCGAGUGCGAGGGAAAUCAAGUACCGAAGCGGUCGAUCCCAUACUGGCGAGAAAAACCCCUAGUGAGGCUUUCAGGUGCCCGUACCGCAAACCGACACAGGUAGGCAAGGAGAGAAUCCUGAGGCGCGCGAGAGAACCCUCGUUAAGGAACUCGGCAAAGUGACCCCGUAACUUCGGGAGAAGGGGUGCCCUGAUAGGGUGAGGAAGACCUGCUCUUCCGAGCCCGAGAGGGUUGCAGAGAAGAGGCCCAAGCGACUGUUUACCAAAAACACAGGUCCCUGCCAAAGCGAAAGCUGACGUAUAGGGGCUGAC
rnacentral:rRNA from 1 species